rnacentral:lncRNA from 1 species
AUUUUACCACUUGAAAUUUAUCCCUCGUGUAAGGUGUAGUCAUUACAUUGAAGUGUUACUCUCAUGCCAACCUAACCUUUUGAAUAGUUUUCUUCAUAACGACAGUUUUCUUUUCUAGACCAUCGUAAAUAAGUUAAAAUAUGCUUGAAACAUUGAAACACGUGUGUCACUGAAACGACUUUAAAGUACCCACUCAUAUCAAUUAUCUACAUCAAAGUUAAAUGAUAAAGUCUUAAAUCAGAGACCUUUCUUGCUUUUGAAGAUUUUUCGUCAUAACAACAGUUUCCUUUUCUUGACUAUCAUUAAAAGAAGGAUCGAGUGGAAGCGUCAAAAUUUUGCUUCAACACGUGCGUCGCAAAGUGGCAAAAUCCCUUUUGAGACAUGUGACGGACGCCAUUU